AUUUGAAUAACAGCGACGGAUGUAGAAGAAAUAACUACCUCGAAGUAACGAACAAAAGGCGAUAACUGAUGACAAUGGUGCUAUGUCUAAUAUGGUCUGUGGUCAUUUUAUUCCUAAAUAUUACAGGUAUAUUUGGGGAAGAGUGUUUACUUUCAAUCCCCCGUGUGACGGAAUAUAAAUCGUGUUUGUUUGGAUGUUGUCAUCAAGGAUUUGAUACUAACACUGGGUUUGAAAAUGAAGACGUUUGUUGUAGUCCGACGGGUGGUAUUAUGAUGUCUAUCGUGGCUGGGUCUAUUGUCCUGUUUCUGGGAUUAGUGGCGAGUUGUUUCGGUUGCAACUGUCGACAGUUGUGUAAAGCAACUCCCAAUAAAACAACCGGUGAAACAACCAAUAAAACAACCACUAAAACAACCGGUAAAACAGCCACUAAAACAACCACUAAAACAACUGAUAUCUCCAACAACAAUUCUUUAGCAGUUGUCACAGCCGCCAAUGAAGAUACCAACAAAUCUCCAGUACGAAAACCAAAGAAAAAGUCGACGAGGGCGGUUCACAAACAUCACCUUGGUUACCACACGCCGCAAAUACCCGGAUGUCCUAUGCCCCCCGAUUCUACUGUAUCCCAACAGACCUGGCAAUUGUCUUUAAAGUCGAAGGAUGGGGCUGGGCAUUCGAACAAAACGUCUGGAAGACCAAAAUAAAUUUCAUUCUUCUGUAUUAAGAUAAACCUUUUCUUCUUAAUUUGAGACUGGUUGAUCGCAACAUAUAUAAUAAAUUAUAUAUUCUAAUAAAACACACACUAAUCAGCAGUGAAUAUUCGCUAGGCCGCUACAAUCACUGAUAAGGAUGACAUCAAUGCGACUUAAUGAGCCCCAAAUAUUAACUUUUUUCCUCCGACAAAUUAAAUUCUAAAACAUUUUUCUUAUGGUAUCAGAAAAAAAAAUAAAGACGUUUGAAGUAUUUCCUGGUUAUUAUAAUGAGUAAAAGGCGCCAUUCUGCCCGAACCAGUAACGUCUUAUGUAAACAAUGCUCACGCCAUUGAACCAAUGAUUGACGCCGCGUGAUGUAACGUCACGUGUUGAAGGCAGUCAUAUUUUACAGAUGUAUUAGAAGACUUUCGUAAUUCUCUGUGAAACAGAUUGAAUAAAACAGUGAUGAUGACAGUAUAGAAAGUUAAUGCAUAAUGAGUUAGUUUAAAAAAUAUUUUAUUCAAUAAACUGAAAUGGAUUGAACAACAGGCAGAGACAUAUAUAAGUUCACUCCAAAAUUACAAACAGUAAUAUAUACAUGCCAUGUAUAAACUGAAUUGGAUUGAACAACAGACAGAGGCCUAUAUUAGUUCUCUCCAAACAUAUAAAUUAGUUAAAAUUUUUGUUUACAAUAAACAAUGGUGCACAUAUCUAUAGACAGUGAUUUACAAACAAAUAUACAUUUCUUCGGGUGUAAUGGUACUAUAUUUAUAAUAUUUGCAUAUAAGAUUAUGAAAAUAAAAAAAAAUUUUUAAAAAAAUAUAUUGCACAUUGUAAAUAUAGUUUUAAAUAUUAAAGUGUUAAAAUCUCAAUGAGUUCCAAACAGAUCAGCAGGAAAUAUUCGCUUCGCAGCUACUAUCACUGAAAGGGGUGACAUUAGGGCAACGAGUUCCUUAUUGAUCAUCAGGAAAUAUUCGCUUAGCAGCUACUAUCUCUGAAAGGGGUGACGUUAGGGCAAUGAGUUCCUAAUUGAUCAGCAGGAA